rnacentral:lncRNA from 1 species
AUUGAAUGAUUGUUUGGUUACAAGUAAUUUGAUUGGAAUCGCUUCAACGUCCAAUUUAAUUUGGCUUAGUACUUGUUUAACUAAGCAAUAAAUUGGAUAAUUUUCGAUUGAAUUGUAAUAUUUUCAUCUUUAGUUAGUCAGUUUUUGUCAAUACUCUUUAAACUAUAACAUUCUAUUGCGUCUGCUUCACGAUUGUUGUUGGUCCAGUCCUCCAGCAGCGCUGCAUGAGUGAACUCAUAAAUAUCUGAGAAAUUUAAAAUUUUUCGAAAAGGGGCAAAAACGGGCAAUAAGCAUUAACACCACAUGAUUCUAUAAUAUUUGGUUAAUAACAUGUAACUUGAACCUCUGUUCAGUGGUGUGCUGUGCAAAAGUAAUGUUCCACAGAAAACAGGUGCAAUUGUUAGUACCAAGCUAAAAAGACAC